CCUACGGGGGGCAGCAGUAGGGAAUCUUCCACAAUGGGCGCAAGCCUGAUGGAGCAACACCGCGUGAGUGAAGAAGGGUUUCGGCUCGUAAAGCUCUGUUGUUGGAGAAGAACGUGCGUGAGAGUAACUGUUCACGCAGUGACGGUAUCCAACCAGAAAGUCACGGCUAACUACGUGCCAGCAGCCGCGGUAAUACGGAGGUGGCAAGCGUUAUCCGGAUUUAUUGGGCGUAAAGCGAGCGCAGGCGGUUGCUUAGGUCUGAUGUGAAAGCCUUCGGCUUAACCGAAGAAGUGCAUCGGAAACCGGGCAACUUGAGUGUAGAAGAGGACAGUGGAACUCCAGGUGUAGCGGUGGAAUGCGUAGAUAUAUGGAAGAACACCAGUGGCGAUGGCGGCUGUCUGGUCUGCAACUGACGCUGAGGCUCGAAAGCAUGGGUAGCGAACAGGAUUAGAUACCCCGGUAGUC
rnacentral:rRNA from 1 species